rnacentral:sRNA from 1 species
GACCACCCGUUUUCGGGUUAAGGCCAUGCGGACAGCCGGGUCGACUGCCGA